GAUGAACGCUGGCGGCGUGCCUAAUACAUGCAAGUCGAGCGAACAGAUGAGGAGCUUGCUCCUCUGACGUUAGCGGCGGACGGGUGAGUAACACGUGGAUAACCUACCUAUAAGACUGGGAUAACUUCGGGAAACCGGAGCUAAUACCGGAUAAUAUAUUGAACCGCAUGGUUCAAUAGUGAAAGACGGUUUUGCUGUCACUUAUAGAUGGAUCCGCGCCGCAUUAGCUAGUUGGUAAGGUAACGGCUUACCAAGGCAACGAUGCGUAGCCGACCUGAGAGGGUGAUCGGCCACACUGGAACUGAGACACGGUCCAGACUCCUACGGGAGGCAGCAGUAGGGAAUCUUCCGCAAUGGGCGAAAGCCUGACGGAGCAACGCCGCGUGAGUGAUGAAGGUCUUCGGAUCGUAAAACUCUGUUAUUAGGGGAGAACAAAUGUGUAAGUAACUAUGCACGUCUUGACGGUACCUAAGCAGAAAGCCACGGCUAACUACGU
rnacentral:rRNA from 1 species